CCCCCCCCCCCCCCCCCCCUUCUUUUUUCUUCUGUUGCUUCUGUUCAACUUUGAAAUUACGUAGGGACUGUUCUCUUUGUCGUUUUCAAACCAUUUUCUGUUUUCAAUUUUUCAAAAUGGUGAAAACGCGUUCUCCUUCCCAUUUUCGAAAAUGCAUUUUGGAAAACCAAAAAAAAAAAAAUUUGUACACAAAACUCAAAACGUCAUACAUCUAAAAUGACGUUUUGAGUCACUAUAUUUGGAAAACAUGGAAAACGCUCUUUUUAGAUCUCUCUCAUUUCCAUUUCUCACAAUCCCUACGUCUCUCCCUCCUCUCUCUCCUUUACCUUUCCCCUUACUGAUACGGAUGGAUGCUCUCUCAUCGGAGCUCUAUCGUUUCAACACCCUCAUUUUCAAGUCACCACUUGUUUAUUAACUCAUCGGCCCAGGUGCUGCGCCAUCGAUUUAACUCGUCCAAACAAGGCUUCAUCCUCUGUUUGCCAAACAGCAGCAACACUAAGAGCUAAAGACCCACCCAAGUACUUGAGACAGGACGACUCGGAGUUCCGAAAAUAGAAACAGAAAGAAGCGGAAAUACUCAAAGACAUCGAGCCCAUUAUUUAUCUAACCAAAGAAAUCCUACACUCAAAUUGCCCGGAAGCUAUUGUGAGGCCAUUUUAGUGGUUCGAUAGUACAGGGUAGGAUAUAGCAACAAUGUUAUUCUUUUGCUAUGAUGCUGUAUACUGCUAUGGCAAUGAUAUAGGAUUGUAAAUAUUUCUAUCUUACAGAUAUUACAUGAACUUGUGGACGUGACACCUUUCUUCUGUAGAAUGAAUUCUAUUGAGCAAUUGAGGAAACUUAUUAGUCAUUUUUACAUAAAGAAAUAGGAUGGUCAAAUUCUGUUGCUACAUGUUUUGGCCCUUGUUAUUGUUUCCGUGUUUGUGAUAUGUAUAAUCAUUACGAACCUUGUAAUUUUUCUUUUUAAAACUUGUGUUUACUGAGAUUGGUGAAAUGGAACAAUUAGUCACAUCAAA